rnacentral:rRNA from 1 species
GACGUAGGGCGCGAGCGUUGUCCGGAUUGACUGGGCGUAAAGCGCACGCAGGCGGAUGCGCGCGUGGGGUGUGAAAUCUGGCCGCUUAACGGCCAGGCGCCAUCCCAUACGGCGCGUCUGGAGUGAUGCAGAGGUCGGUGGAAUUGCCGGUGUAGUGGUGAAAUGCGUAGAGAUCGGCAGGAACACCCAGGGGGAAACCAGCCGACUGGGCAUCUACUGACGCUGAGGUGCGAGAGCGUGGGGAGCGAACCGG